rnacentral:rRNA from 1 species
UACGGAGGGUGCAAGCGUUGUCCGGAAUCAUUGGGCGUAAAGAGCGCGUAGGCGGCCCGGUAAGUCCGCUGUAAAAGUCCAGGGCUCAACCCUGGAAAGCCGGUGGAUACUGUCGGGCUCGAGUCCGGAAGAGGCGAGUGGAAUUCCUGGUGUAGCGGUGGAAUGCGCAGAUAUCAGGAGGAACACCAAUGGCGAAGGCAGCUCGCUGGGACGGUACUGACGCUGAGGCGCGAAAGCGUGGGGAGCAAACAGG